GGCUCAAAGAAUAGGAUUUGUAGGCUGGAAGCUCAUAAUAGUUGAAGCUCACAGAGGACCCAUGACCACCAGAUGCUAGAAGAAUUCUCGUGAAAUAGACUAGGAUUCUCCUUCCCUUUACAACCUCUUUUGUGAAGGCAGGAGGUCACGAUGCAAGAAGAAUCCUCGUGACGUACCUCCAUUGCCAUCUCCAGCGAGCUUCUCAAAGAUGCCAGGAUAGAAGGACACCCCUUUUCAUCAAACUUGAGCUUCCUCUUGUAUUUCUUUUAUUUUUUAUUCUAAAGGUGAUAUCCCGAGAUAUCAGCUAUCUAGAGAUGAUGAACACAAUCAUCAACUAUUGUAAUCCAUUGGAAUGAAAAAAUUCGCAUGACAAAGCUUAUUUUGAUACGCUUUAA
rnacentral:lncRNA from 1 species